AUCGCUUCUCGGCCUUUUGACUAAGAUCAAGUGUAGUAUCUGUUCUUAUCAGUUUAAUAGUUAAAGCAAUGGUAUUCCCUAUAGUAACCUAU
ensembl:snRNA U2 U2 spliceosomal RNA